rnacentral:tRNA from 1 species
UCCUCGUUAGUAUAGUGGACAGUAUCUUCGCCUGUCACGCGGAAGACCGGGGUUCGAUUCCCCGACGGGGAG